UGACAGGAUGUGCCCACUUUGCUGGUAGC
rnacentral:piRNA from 1 species